GUGCCCGUAGCUCAAUCGGAUAGAGCACCGGCCUUCUAAGCCGGGGGUUGCGGGUUCGAUUCCUGCCGGGCACGCCC
rnacentral:tRNA from 1 species